AAUUAAGUAAAGGAUCUUAGGAUAAGAUCAUCUGGGAUUUAGGGUUGACCUAAAGUCCAAUGGCUGCUGUCCUGAUAGGAGGAAGGAGAGGAAGAUUUGAGACAUUAAACAGAAGGAAGAAAGCCACAUGAAGACAGAGGUUGGGAUUGGAGCAAUGCAAACACAAGCCAAGGAACACCAGGAUCCACCAGAUGCUGGAAGAAGCCAGAAAGGAUACAGCCUUUGGAAGGAGAAGGAAAAUCUCAGAAUCCAGAGUACGUCAGCACGGAUGCACGUUCCUGAGUAAAAGAACAGGCUUGCCCCUGAUUAAAAAAAGAAGAAGAAGAAACUGAUAUCAAUGUCUUUUCAAGGACUGGUUUUUUUUGAGUGUCACAGUUUCCAAACUGACUACGCACAAAUUUCAAGAUCUAUCUAUCCAUCCAUCCAUCUACCUAUCAUCUAUCUACUUAGACUAAAUCAAUCAAUUCAGAGAUCUGGAAAGUUGCCAUUAGGUUAGGUAGGUGGAUACUUUGUUUUUGUGCAAGUUAUUCUUUGAAGGCCCAGAAAUUAAAUGAAUGAGCUAUAACAAGUCAA